GAUAACUGACUUCUGGCGGCCAAGCGUUCAUAGCGACAUCGCUUUUUGAUCCUUCGAUUUCGGUUCUUCCUAUCAUUACAAAGCUGAAUUCGCCAAGGGUCGGAUUGUUCACCCGCCAACAGGGAACAGGGAGCUGGGUUUAGAUCGUCGUGAGACAGGUU
rnacentral:ncRNA from 1 species